CCUACGGGAGGCAGCAGUGAGGAAUAUUGGUCAAUGGGCUUACGCCUGAACCAGCCAAGUCGCGUGAGGGAAGACUGCCCUAUGGGUUGUAAACCUCUUUUGUCAGGGAGCAACGCCGGCUACGUGUAGCCGGCCUGAUAGUACCUGAAGAAAAAGCAUCGGCUAACUCCGUGCCAGCAGCCGCGGUAAUACGGAGGAUGCGAGCGUUAUCUGGGUUUAUUGGGUUUAAAGGGUGCGUAGGCGGAAUGCCAAGUCAGCGGUAAAAUCGCGGGGCUCAACCUCGCUCCGCCGUUGAAACUGGCGUUCUUGAGUGGGCGAGAAGUAUGCGGAAUGCGUGGUGUAGCGGUGAAAUGCAUAGAUAUCACGCAGAACUCCGAUUGCGAAGGCAGCAUACCGGCGCCCAACUGACGCUGAAGCACGAAAGCGUGGGUAUCGAACAGGAUUAGAUACCCCAGUAGUC
rnacentral:rRNA from 1 species